rnacentral:rRNA from 1 species
UACGUAGGGGGCAAGCGUUAUCCGGAUUCACUGGGUGUAAAGGGAGCGUAGACGGCCAUGCAAGCCAGGGGUGAAAGCCCGGGGCCCAACCCCGGGGCUGCCCUUGGAACUGCAUGGCUGGAGUGCGGGAGGGGCAGGCGGAAUUCCUGGUGUAGCGGUGAAAUGCGUAGAUAUCAGGAGGAACACCAGUGGCGAAGGCGGCUUACUGGACUGUAACUGACGUUGAGGCUCGAAAGCGUGGGGAGCAAACAGG